rnacentral:rRNA from 1 species
UACGAAGGGGGCUAGCGUUGCUCGGAAUCACUGGGCGUAAAGCGCACGUAGGCGGAUUGCUAAGUCAGGGGUGAAAUCCUGGAGCUCAACUCCAGAACUGCCUUUGAUACUGGCGAUCUUGAGUCCGGGAGAGGUGAGUGGAACUGCGAGUGUAGAGGUGAAAUUCGUAGAUAUUGGGAAGAACACCGGUGGCGAAGACGGCUCACUGGCUCGUAACUGACGCUCAGGCGCGAUAGCGUGGGGAUCAAACAGG